rnacentral:ncRNA from 1 species
CAAGGCUUGGAAUCAUGAUGCUGUGGGCCUUGCCAGCGUCAAGCGAGCGAUCACGGGGAUCUCCAGACGCUCGUCGGUACAGCCGCUGACUGCUUAAAGUAGGCCGUUGAGGGAAGCUCGCAUUGCUCUCAUCGCUCCGAAUUUCAUGUAGCAGUCGCGCCGCAUGCCGUGGAGGGGUGAGCUGUGUUGGCAGCUCAGAAGAUGCGGGACGCCG